UGACAGGCUUCCCUUGAAGCCAUCCUAUGUCUGAGAUAAAACCUAU
rfam:Mustela putorius furo unplaced genomic scaffold scaffold00058, whole genome shotgun sequence.